ACCACUGCUAAUCUAUACUGCUGUCAAUCUAUCUAUCACUGCUAAUCUAUUGCUGCUAAUCUAUCACUGCUGUCAAUCUAUCUACUGCUGUCAAUCUAUCUAUCACUGUCAAUCUAUCUACCACUGCUAAUUUAUCACUGCUAAUCUAUUGCUGCUGCUAAUCUAUCUACUGCUGUUAAUUUAUCUAUUGCUGCUAAUCUAUCACUGCUGUCAAUUUAUCUACUGCUGUCAAUCUAUCUAUUGCUGUCAAUCUAUCUACUACUGCUAAUCUAUCACUACUAAUCUAUUACUACUGUCAAUCUAUCUACUGCUGUCAAUCUAUCUACUGCUGUUAAUCUAUUACUGUUAAUCUAUCACUGCUAAUCUAUCACUGCUAAUCUAUUGCUGUCAAUCUAUCUACUGCUGUCAAUCUAUCUAUCACUGUCAAUCUAUCUACCACUGUUAAUCUAUCGCUGCUAAUCUAUCACUGUUAAUCUAUCACUGCUAAUCUAUCGCCGUCAAUCUAUCUACUGCUGCCAAUCUAUCUACUGCUGCCAAUCUAUCUAUCACUGCC
rnacentral:sRNA from 2 species